GCCUCCCCUGGCGUGGCCGGCUGUACCCUCGAGCAGGCUCUACUGGGAUGAGGGGCCCUCGCUCGGGCCACUUCGGGGGCGCCCACUGUGGCCCUGCCGCCUCCGGCUUGGCCCCUGGAUUCCGGGAAGACAAGGGAGGCGGGGGCUGCUUGGCGCUGGCCCCGGGGGCGACCGUUCCCCAGGAGCCCGGCACUCGGGGUAGUGGGGUCGCGGGCGCCGCCGCGCUGGAAGUAGGGAAGCGCACGGGGUUCGGAGGCGAGGCCGGCGGAGAAGCCGCUGCGCGCGGAACUCCGCGCCCGCCCCGACCCAGGUGCCCUGAGGAAGUCCGCAGCGCUGAGGCCCGCGUACCCGCAGCAGCCGGCGUGGAACCCUCGCGCUUCAACUUGCGGGUCCUGGGGAACCCGCGGGGGCCGCGAGGAGCUUCCCUUUACUACUCGGGUUUUGGGGGAGAUUUCUUCCUUUGAAGAUGAAUCUAAAGAGUAAAGAACCACCUUUUUGCUGUAUCUACUGUGAAAAUGAAGACCAUUCUCUGCAACCAGACAGUCCACAUUCCAGAAAAUGUAGACAUCACUCUGAAGGGACACCCAGUAAUUGCGAAGGGCCUAGAGAAAACCUGCGGAGGGACUUCAGUCACAUCAAUGUAGACAUCAGUCUCCUUGGAAAGAAAAAAAUGAGGCUCUGAGAUUGACAAAAAAUGGUAGGGAAACCGGCUGCCAUUUGCACUGUGCAUCAUCAUGCACAGAACAUGGUCAAGGAUGUCGCACUGGGCUUCUGUUACAAGAUGAGCUCUGCGUGUACUCACUUCUCCAUCAAUGUUGUUAACCAGAAGAAUGGGUCUCUGGUCAAGAUCCGAAAUUUCCUGGGUGAAAAUAAAUUCACAGGGUUCAGAGGAGGCCGGGUGUUG
rnacentral:lncRNA from 13 species